rnacentral:rRNA from 1 species
UAGUACGAGAGGACCGGAGUGGACGCAUCACUGGUGUUCGGGUUGUCAUGCCAAUGGCACUGCCCGGUAGCUAAAUGCGGAAGAGAUAAGUGCUGAAAGCAUCUAAGCACGAAACUUGCCCCGAGAUGAGUUCUCCCUGACCCUUUAAGGGUCCUGAAGGAACGUUGAAGACGACGACGUUGAUAGGCCGGGUGUGUAAGCGCAGCGAUGCGUUGAGCUAACCGGUACUAAUGAACCGUGAGGCUUAACCUUACAACGCCGAAGCUGUU